AAGCACCCUCCAUGAUAAGC
rnacentral:miRNA from 1 species